AAUAGAAGCAGGUGCAGUUCCCUCACCUACACUUGGCUCACAUUCAAGAAGAAGUCAGCUAUACAGUUCUGAAUGUCCCAGAGCUGAGCUCAAUGAUCUUUCCUAAGAGACUGAUCAAGCAUUAUCUUCCACGGCUCUCUCUGUCAGUGCCUGUCUUUCGUUUUGCAGUUUCAGGUUCAGGACUCCUUCCAUUGAAUUUCAGUGGUUCCCAGAAAGAUGUGUGGACUCUUCUUCAUCAUAACAACCACAGUGAUAAUGAAAAUAAGUACCUGAGUCUGAAUCACAAGGUUGCUAUUAGAGGUGCUGAUUUUCGGUAAGUUGAUUCAUUUCACACUCAGUUACUUCAUCUAUAAAGUAAGAAUAGUAAUAGCCUCAUUCCUGGACCUGACCCUCUACUUUGUACCCUAAGACUGAUAUUUCUUCAUGAAUUCUGUUGGAGGUCCUAUAACACCGCAAUACCAACAGGCAGAAUCAGAAGCUAACUGUUGGUCUCUUACACACUUGGUUUAAGUCACUCUGAUCCUGUUUUAUUUCCAUUUUUCUCUCUCUGCAAAUUCAUGAGUUUCUUGAAAGCAGGGUCCAGUUCUUCCACACCCAUAUUCCUCAAGUGCUUUAGCCUAGACGUGAUGUGCAUGCUGAAUUCGUUACAAGUAGCCAGAAACAAGGUCAGACAAAAAGCUCCCUUUGAGAAAAAACUAGCCUCUGCUUAGACUUAGACUUGCCUGAGUGGGUCUAACCAGAUGGAAACUGUGUCUCUCUGUGGUUUACGUGCAUAGGGACUUUCAGAGGAAAAGCCAUGGGCUCAAUAUCUACUAAGAGGGUAUGAAAUAUACAAGAUUGUUUUCACGGCCAUGCUACAAAGGUUAAAUCACACCAUACAUCUCCAAGUCAUCAGAUUGAUGCAGGAGGAGAGGGUUGCGCUACGUGUUGGAGUUGGAUGCCUGUAGGGGCUGGGGAAGGACCACUGUGCCUUGUGCACUUCCUUAGCUUGCCACCUCCUCAGGCCCUGGCCCUGCCUCGUGCCAGCCACCGAUGGUUAACUGCAGUGCUGCGCGCGAUAUUAAGGGAAACGAUC
rnacentral:lncRNA from 1 species